UACGUAGGGUGCAAGCGUUGUCCGGAAUUAUUGGGCGUAAAGAGCUCGUAGGCGGUUCGUCGCGUCGGCUGUGAAAUCCCGGGGCUUAACCCCGGGCGUGCAGUGGAUACGGGCAGGCUGGAGGCAGGCAGGGGAGAACGGAAUUCCCGGUGUAGCGGUGAAAUGCGCAGAUAUCGGGAGGAACACCGGUGGCGAAGGCGGUUCUCUGGGCCUGUACUGACGCUGAGGAGCGAAAGCGUGGGGAGCGAACAGG
rnacentral:rRNA from 1 species